GCAGUAGCCGCGGUAAUACGUAGGGUGCGAGCGUUAAUCGGAAUUACUGGGCGUAAAGCGUGCGCAGGCGGUUGUGUAAGACAGGUGUGAAAUCCCCGGGCUUAACCUGGGAACUGCGCUUGUGACUGCACAGCUAGAGUAUGGCAGAGGGGGGUGGAAUUCCACGUGUAGCAGUGAAAUGCGUAGAGAUGUGGAGGAACACCGAUGGCGAAGGCAGCCCCCUGGGCCAAUACUGACGCUCAUGCACGAAAGCGUGGGGAGCAAACAGGAUUAGAUACCCCAGUAGUCCCUGUCUCUUAUAC
rnacentral:rRNA from 1 species